rnacentral:lncRNA from 1 species
AAACAAUAAACGCAUGUAGCUGCCCUAAACUUAAGACGUAUCACAAAUGAAAUAUAACAUAAACAGUUCUUACCAUUUUGAAGCGAAGACCUUAGGUCUCAAUACCAUGUUAUGACUCUAGAAAUCCUCAUAGCAGAAAUCACAUCUUCUUGGAGAGAGCACACUGGGCGUGAAGCCGGAUUGAAAGAUCGCUCUGCCCUCUUCCAAAAAUAUCCUGUGUGUCAAGCUUAGCGGACGGGGGCAGUUUGUUUGUUUCUUUCUGUCCGGGAGUUUCACAAGCGGCUGGGAAGGUAAAAGGAGAGACCCAGUGUACAGUAAGUAAGGUUAUCUGUGAUUUGAGUAAGACGGGCUUUCGGCUACCUAGAGUAGGAGUCUCCUCCUCCUGUCUCCCAGCGCCAACCUCAGUGCGGACGAGCUGCCCCGCCUGUAGACUCGGGCUGUAGGAGAGCUCCACACUUCUGCUCCACAAACAUCUUUCCGCGUCCGCUUUUCCCGAGACGGAAAGGCAUCGCGUCUGCAGAGCAAGAACUAAGCAGCAUGGAUGUGACUGCUCUUCAGUUCUGUGCUGAUCUCAACACCUGGCGUCCCGUUUCCCAGGCACCAGUGCUCUGCUGCGAGACGUACCUUCAGCGGGCUCAUGCCUUUACUGCACGGAGGUAUUUAUCAGCGAUUCCUAACCUGGAGCUGGCUGAAGAAGACCUGACACCUCAAGUAGGCUCAUCAGCUGAAACGUUGUGUUACUUCUUUCUACUUUGCAGGGCAGAUUCAACUUGACCUCCUCUGUUGUCAUUGCAUUGUUACCUAAUAUCAUUUGAUCAGACUUGUAACACAUCUCAUGGGAGUUAAGAUGAGUGUUACUAUGAUGUCACUGGCCAGACAAGUUGCCCAUGCUGUCUUCCUGGCGUCUCUGUGUCUUGGACUUCUCUGCCUGUUGGUACGUGGCUCAGGGCUGGGAGAUGACUGAGAGCUGACCAGGGGACUGACAGCUUUUGGGGAUGCUUGUGAGAUGGACUGCAAGGCUGUCACACAAUACUGCAUGGUGUAUCUGGUGUCCCAUAUUUUUGAGAGGAUUGUUGUUUUGUCAAUUGUUCAGUACUUUAACAAUCUUUAACAUCACUGUGGUAUAAUACUUGCAAUUCAGGCAGAAGUACUGUCGAUAAACUAUCAUGCAAGCUUUAUUACCUUCCAAGGUUUCUUUGUUUGCCAAAUAAACUGGAGGAGAGAAAAAUAU